rnacentral:rRNA from 1 species
CAGUCGCCGCGGUAAUACGGAGGGGGCUAGCGUUGUUCGGAAUUACUGGGCGUAAAGCGCACGUAGGCGGCUUGGUAAGUUAGAGGUGAAAGCCCGGAGCUCAACUCCGGAAUUGCCUUUAAGACUGCCGAGCUAGCAGGUGAGAGAGGUAAGUGGAAUUCCGAGUGUAGAGGUGAAAUUCGUAGAUAUUCGGAAGAACACCAGUGGCGAAGGCGGCUUACUGGCUCAUACUGGACGCUGAGGUGCGAAAGCGUGGGGAGCAAACAGGAUUAGAUAUCCCCGUAGUCCCUGUCUCUUAUAC